AGUUGCAGCAUCCUCCUGCGCCGUAGGUAGGGCCGGGGGGGGGCCGGGGGCUGCUGGAGGAGGAGUUUGCUCGGCCGCCUCUUCCUCAGGGAUGCUCUGGGAAAGCUCCAGCACAAAGGAGCGGCGCGGCGGGCAGGAGCCAGCGGAACCGGCGCCCCCCAGCCCCAGCCCGGCCCCCCGGGAGCAGAAUCCUCAUCAGGAAUAGGGCUCCUGCCAGGUAAACGGAUUCUUGCCUGAUUUUCAAAAAUAUAGCCAAAAAUGCUGUGUUAGUGCUUUGUCUCGAAGCCCCCAUUUUCUCCUAAAGCUGAUGAUCCCAGGCGGCGUUAGAGGCGAGGCUGGGCCAGCAGCCCCAGGGCACAGCCCGGCCCUUCCCUCCCCUCCGCGUUAACCUGGCAGAUGCUCUUCUUGCGGAGCCAUUUUCUCUCCCUCAUUGUCUCGCAGCCUUUUGUGUGUGCGGGUAGGUCCUGCCCUGGGAGCCAGGAGGAGCCCAGAAAUAAUCAGAUUUUCAGGCGUUGCGGGCUUGCAGGGAGCCUUUCACACCCUGACGCCCCUUUUCUGCCAGGGCUGCAGACAAAGGCAGCAGUGCCUGGCACCCCUGCAGCAGCACCGGGAGCCUGGGCUGUGCUGGGUGGCAGCAAGGGCCGGGCAGCGCUGGCAGGGCACAGGGCCGGGGUGUCUGCCCGCCCUGUGGGAUCUGGGGGGUCAGGGUGCCCCGAUGCCACAUCCCAGAGAUCAUCUCUCCAGGAUCUCUCGCCUGUUGUGCCCUCAUCUCCCUGCUCCUGCCCGCAGUGGAGCUUGUGCUCCUUGUCCUCCCUCUCUCCUCACUUGAGGAGGGGGUUUAGCCCCAUUUAAUUUGGGUGUCCAGCCCCCGGGGCCACUGUAUGUGCCACCCACACGUGUGGCAGAGGCAGCUCAAGCUCACGCCCAAAAUGAGUGUUUAGGAGGGUCCUGUCUGCACAAAAUUGCUUUUCCCUCCCUGUCCCCUGGGAUGUGCUUCAUUGCCAGGCCACAGAGGCCAUCCUGCCCCAGCACGGGCGCCUCCCGCCGGGAUCCAGCAGGGGAUCCAUGUGCCAGAUGCUCAGUGCCAUCUCCACAGCUCAUUCCCGCUGCUCCCACCGCAGCUGGGCUGCAAACGCCUCCGGACGUGCUGUCCCCACGGCAGGGACUGUCCUGCCGGCAGAGCCUGCGGCGUGUGGUGACAGCGAGCCGCGGGGAGCAGGAACAGCUCCGCGGCUGAACUGCAGAGUCAUCACAGCCCCGCUCCCCCGGGACCUGCUGCCGCCCUGCUCUGCCCAGGCAGGCAGGGCAGGGCAGGGCACAGACAUGGGCUGGCUGCUGGCACCGGCCACGUGUCCCCAAAUCCCUGAGGAGAUGGAGCAGCACCCGGGCUGUGACCACCAGUUGCCCCAGUUUAACCAGUGCCUGUGGAACAGCAGGGUCCCAGACUCAGUUUACCCCACAGCAGGGGCAGAGGUGGCAGCAGACGUGGCAGUGGCAGUGGCAGUGGCAAUCAGUCCCUGAUUACCUCACUGGAGGCAGGGACAGUUUGGGGCAUUGCCACCAUUUCUGCUGUGGUGGUUCCAAUGCCCCUCCUCUGCCUGGUUCAGCUCCUUCACCCUGCAAGGGGACAGGGACAGGAAGGUCUGCGCCCAGCCCUCCUGCCAGGCUCCUGGCUGGGCUGUGCCUGAGGAUGGUGCCCUGUUUCUCUCCCUUUGCUGCGUUGGUUGUUUCUUUUGCAGCUGCUAAUGACUGACCUGAGGUCUGUUCACACAGUCCCCUCGCUGCCCCACAGAGCCACGUGGAACAGGGGACAUUGCACAGCACUCCUGUAGCUGGUGACCACAGUGCCACCACCCCAGGGGCACAGCCCAGCUCCUGCCUGGCCAGACUGACCAUGUCCAGAGGGGAGCCAGGCUCAGGAGCUGCCAUCACCACCAGGACACGAUGCCAGAGCCGGGCUGGCCCCAGCAAAGCACCCUGGUACCCUCUGCCAUGGCAUGGAGCCACCAGCCUGGCCACUGCGGGGGACACGGCCCAGGAGACGGCGCUGGUGACACCUGAGGACACAGGGCUGAGCGUGCACACGGUUCUCCUGCAAGGUGCUGGGGUGUCCUUGCCUCCCACUGCUGCCCCCAGGCCUGUCCCCUGCCCUGAGCACAGAGUAGGAGGAGGGAGAAGGAAAAGGGAGUGGGGGCAGAGCUGUGCCAGCUCCUCGUGGUGACACGAUGGGCAGAGCCCACAGGGGCUCUGUUUGUCCCCACUGAUCCUGCCCUUCCCUAUGGCUCGUGGUGAAGUCCUGGUGCUUUCUGGAACACCUGGGGUGUGGAGCAUGCUGGAGCCUGGGGAGGAGCAUGGACAGUGAAUCCUGCUGCCAUGGCCUCUGCAGUGGCCCUGUAAGGGGUGGGACCGUGUCCUCUCCAAGCAGCCACUCGGGCCCAUGACCCCACACAGGCACAAGGACAGGGGUGCAGUGGGCUGGGGGCACACACAGCUCAUGGCAGGUGUUACAGCCUUGAAGUCCAAACUGGAAAAGUGUCACCUGGGGACCAGAGGAGCUCGUGCUGUGGGAGGAGGUGACCCAGAGGGACUCGAGGCAGAGGAUUUCCUGGGUGCCCCAUCCCAGCCCUGUUUCCUGGGGCACAGUGCAGCCCUUGGAGCAGUGCUCAGCCCCAUGGAGAGGCAGCUUCUGAUGAAGGGGUAAGCUGUGGGUCGCCUUUCCUCUGCUCCAGGGUGGUUUUCCCUGCUGGACCUCCUCCUCCUCCCUGCACGUGCAGUGGGAGCUGGGGCAGUCCUGGAGCAGCUGCUGUGGUCUCUGCUGGAGCCUUACCCCAGACACCACCAGUGAUUCUUUCACCCUCUCUUCUUCUGCUUCUUGAGCUCCUUUGGAGUCCUUUAGGCACUGCUGGGGCUGUGUCCUCCAUGCAUCCUGUCUCUCACCUUUCCCAGCACCAGGGGUGGGAAGCCCGUGUUGUGAGGGGCCUCUGGUACCUCCCUGGCAGGGAUCAGAGGGGCAGAAGCCUGCUGAGCAUUUCAUUCAGGGACAGGUUCUGCUACACCAGCUAAACCCUCCACUAACACCUUCCCAAAUGCCAACGCCCAAAAACGCCUCCUGCUCUUGUGAGCCAGAGCCCUGCUGCUGACAGGCCUGGCUCUGCAUGCUGCCAAUAUUAACCUACUAACCUGCUGGGACCCCUGUGCCCUCCCUGGGGCUGCCUCAGCCCCUGGCACACGGACUAACCCACUAACCAGCCCAGCGCAUGCCCUACUAACCCACAGCAGCCCUGCCUCGCGCCCACUAACCACGGCAGCAGCGCUGCCUUUAAAGGGGAACAGAAAAGCUGGGGAAAGGCUUUGGAGGUGCCAGGUGUCAGUGCCAGGCUGCACAGGCAGGGACAGCCCUGGAGAGAGGACUGGCUGCCCAGCACUGGGCAGGAGUGGUGUGGGGCAGCUCCUGCAUGUGCAGGCAGCUCCAGUCCUGGGCAGGAGAGGGGACUGCUGGUCCCU